rnacentral:rRNA from 1 species
UACGGGGGGGGGCAAGCGUUGUUCGGAAUUACUGGGCGUAAAGGGCUCGUAGGCGGCCAACUAAGUCAGACGUGAAAUCCCCAGGCUCAACCUGGGAACUGCGUCUGAUACUGGAUGGCUUGAAUCCGGGAGAGGGAUGCAGAAUUCCAGGUGUAGCGGUGAAAUGCGUAGAUAUCUGGAGGAAUACCGGUGGCGAAGGCGGCAUCCUGGACCGGCAUUGACGCUGAGGAGCGAAAAGCUAGGGGGAGCAAACGGGG